AGCUAUUCAUUCAAAGAGUGCGUAACAGCUCACUAGUCGAGCGACAGAGCGUGGAUAAUAAACGGGCAUCAAGCAUAUCACCGAAGUUCUGGGCGCGAGAGCGCGGUAGGGGAGCAUUCCAUUCAGCGUCGAAGCAGUUUCGUGAGGAAUUGUGGAGCGUAUGGAAAAGCAAAUGUAGGCAUGAGUAACGAUAAUGCGGGAGAGUAACCCGCACACCGCAAGACCAAGGUUUCCUGAUCAACGCUAAUCGGAUCAGGGUUAGUCGGGUCCUAAGGGUAAGCCGAACGGCGAUCUCGAUGGAUAAUCGGUUAAUAUUCCGAUACUAACAUAUACCUCGAUGGAGAGACGAAGGAACGUAAGUGCCGCCACCUGACGGAAUAGGUGGUUAAAGGGCGUAGGUAUAGGGGCAGAUUAAGAGUUAGUCCUUGCUGAAACCUGACAGUACAGAGAGCCUACGGGCAAUUUGAUAGAGCACCCAAGUCGACUUCCGAGAAAAUCUUCUAAGUUAUAGUAUAUGUUACCCGUACCGUAAACCGACACAGGUGGUCGAGGAGAGUAUCCUAAGGUGCUCGAGUGAAUCACGGUUAAGGAACUAGGCAAAUUAACCCCGUAACUUCGGGAAAAGGGGUCCCUAUGAAAGUAGGGCGCAGCGAAGAGGUCCAGGCGACUGUUUAUCAAAAACACAGGGCUCUGCAAAUUCGAAAGAAGACGUAUAGGGCCUGACACCUGCCCGGUGCUGGAAGGUUAAGAGGGGAUGUCAUCGCAAGAGAAGCAUUGAAUCGAAGCCCCAGUAAACGGCGGCCGUAACUAUAACGGUCCUAAGGUAGCGAAAUUCCUUGUCGGGUAAGUUCCGACCUGCACGAAUGGUGUAACGAUCUGGACACUGUCUCAACCGUGAGCUCGGUGAAAUUGUAGUCCCGGUGAUGAUGCCGGGUACCCGCAACGGGACGAAAAGACCCCGUGAACCUUUACUAUAGCUUAACGCUGAAUUUGGGUACACAAUGUGUAGGAUAGGCCGGAGGCUUUGAAGCGGGCACGCCAGUGUUCGUGGAGCCGACGUUGAAAUACGGCCCUUUGUGUAUUUGAGUUCUAACCCUGCGAAGGGGACACCGUUUGGUGGGUAGUUUGACUGGGGUGGUCGCCUCCAAAAGCGUAACGGAGGCUUCCCAAGGUACCCUCAGCACGAAUGGUAACCGUGCGCGGAGUGCAAUAGCAUAAGGGUGCUUGACUGUGAGACAUACAAGUCGACCAGGUACGAAAGUAGGGUAUAGUGAUCCGGUGGUUCUGCGUGGACUGGCCAUCGCUCAAAGGAUAAAAGGUACUCCGGGGAUAACAGGC
rnacentral:rRNA from 1 species